GCCUCAGUAACGGCGAGUGAAGCGGCAAAAGCUCAAAUUUGGAAUCUGGCACUUUCAGUGUCCGAGUUGUAAUUUGAAGACCGGUGCUUUGGGAGCAGGAGGUGUCGAAGUUCCUUGGAACAGGACGUCGCAGAGGGUGAGAAUCCCGUGCGAUACCUCUUCUUGCUUCUUUGUAAAGCCUGGUCGAAGAGUCGAGUUGUUUGGGAAUGCAGCUCUAAGUGGGUGGUAAAUUCCAUCUAAAGCUAAAUACUGGCGAGAGACCGAUAGCGAACAAGUACAAAGAUGAAAAGAACUUUGAAAAGAGAGUGAAAAAGUACGUGAAAUUG
rnacentral:rRNA from 1 species